GACGAACGCUGGCGGCGUGCUUAACACAUGCAAGUCGAACGGAAAGACCCUGCUUUUGUGGGGUGCUCGAGUGGCGAACGGGUGAGUAACACGUGAGUAACCUGCCCUUGACUUUGGGAUAACUUCAGGAAACUGGGGCUAAUACCGGAUAGGAGCUCCUGCUGCAUGGUGGGGGUUGGAAAGUUUCGGCGGUUGGGGAUGGACUCGCGGCUUAUCAGCUUGUUGGUGGGGUAGUGGCUUACCAAGGCUUUGACGGGUAGCCGGCCUGAGAGGGUGACCGGCCACAUUGGGACUGAGAUACGGCCCAGACGCCUACGGGAGGCAGCAGUGGGGAAUAUUGCACAAUGGGCGGAAGCCUGAUGCAGCAACGCCGCGUGCGGGAUGACGGCCUUCGGGUUGUAAACCGCUUUCGCCUGUGACGAAGCGUGAGUGACGGUAAUGGGUAAAGAAACACCGGCUAACUACGU
rnacentral:rRNA from 1 species